AUUGAACGCUGGCGGCAUGCCUUACACAUGCAAGUCGAACGGUAACAGGUCUUCGGAUGCUGACGAGUGGCGAACGGGUGAGUAAUACAUCGGAACGUGCCCGAUCGUGGGGGAUAACGAGGCGAAAGCUUUGCUAAUACCGCAUAAGAUCUAUGGAUGAAAGCAGGGGACCGCAAGGCCUUGCGCGAACGGAGCGGCCGAUGGCAGAUUAGGUAGUUGGUGGGGUAAAGGCUUACCAAGCCUACGAUCUGUAGCUGGUCUGAGAGGACGACCAGCCACACUGGGACUGAGACACGGCCCAGACUCCUACGGGAGGCAGCAGUGGGGAAUUUUGGACAAUGGGCGCAAGCCUGAUCCAGCCAUGCCGCGUGCAGGAUGAAGGCCUUCGGGUUGUAAACUGCUUUUGUACGGAACGAAAAGCCUUCUUCUAAUAAAGGGAGGUCAUGACGGUACUGUAAGAAUAAGCACCGGCUAACUACAUGCCAGCCGCCGCCGUAA
rnacentral:rRNA from 1 species